AACACUAUAUCAUAUUACAU
rnacentral:snRNA from 1 species